GGGGGUGUAGCUCAGUGGUAAAGCAUCUGCUUCCUAUGCAGAAGGUCCCCGGUUCAAUCCCUGACAUCUCCG